CCUACGGGUGGCAGCAGUGAGGAAUAUUGGUCAAUGGGCGUGAGCCUGAACCAGCCAAGUAGCGUGAAGGAUGACUGCCCUACGGGUUGUAAACUUCUUUUAUAAGGGAAUAAAGUGCGGCACGUGUGCCGUUUUGUAUGUACCUUAUGAAUAAGGAUCGGCUAACUCCGUGCCAGCAGCCGCGGUAAUACGGAGGAUCCGAGCGUUAUCCGGAUUUAUUGGGUUUAAAGGGAGCGUAGGUGGGCUGUUAAGUCAGCGGUGAAAGUUUGUGGCUCAACCAUAAAAUUGCAGUGGAUACUGGCAGUCUUGAGUACGGUUGAGGUAGGCGGAAUUCGUGGUGUAGCGGUGAAAUGCUUAGAUAUCACGAAGAACUCCGAUUGCGAAGGCAGCAUACUAAACCGCCACUGACAUUGAUGCUCGAAAGUGUGGGUAUCAAACAGGAUUAGAUACCCGAGUAGUC
rnacentral:rRNA from 1 species